UAUGUAAAACUCGAUCCUGCCCCUUUAAGGCUGUUGGACCUGGCCGGCAGAUUCCUUCACCAGCCAGCAUUCGUUGGAAAAACAAACAUUUGCCGAAAAGCAACCAGGGCAAAUAUAAAAAUAGUCUGCUGGUCCCCCACCACUGACAAGUAAGCAGGAAUUAUAUCCAAACACAACCUGGAACAGGAGAAGCAGACCUUGAAAUAAGCAGCCGAGAUAAGGUGAGUAGAUUGUUCACUGCAGCUAACGAGGUCCGUCACGAGAAACGAGAAACCAAACAAAUCUCUGGGGCUGAAACUUGGAGGACAACCAGCAAAUAAUCUGCCAAGGACCAGCUGGGAGACAGACGACUUAACAAUAGAGGAAGUUAUUUCUUACAACAUGCAGGAGCACUCGACUGGCCUCCGGGAGCUGCCAAUGCAGUUCAGAGAUGCAAGAUGUAGGCUGUCUCCCUUUGGUGUCUUCCCCCGUUCUCUCACCUCUGGAUGGAAGGGGCUCCCUGAAUCCCAGGGCCAUGAGGACGCCUGAGUCUGGUGUGUCUGUCUGAACUGCAGGGAACUCGGAGUGUGGCUCAAGAGAGACAGCCAGCAGCUGCUACUGCGCCACUUGUCUAAUGCAACCCCUAGCUAGGCAUUCCUCAUCAUUGCCUCUCCCAGCACUUAUCAACUGAAAAUGUGACGUUAGUUGUGCUACAAUAUUAAUGUGUCCCUCCAGAAUGCUCCAUGGCAUAUUCUAUUCCCUUUAUAAGCAAUGGCUCAGAUCCUAAGCCAAGAGGGACUUUUCUGUAACUCGCUGUGUGUUCUGGGGUAGAUGUGAAAAAAAGAAAGACGUCUAGAGUUCAGCAUUUGUCUGGGUAAGCUGUGAUAGCAGCUCAGUCCAUUAACAAAACUUUCACUGCUUAAUCGCUGCCAGGCAAACCACCGUCAAGGCUGGUGGUUUGGCUUGGAGGCAGACAAGGACUGACCAAGCCCAGAGGCAAACUUCUCAGCUGGUGACUGGGGACGGGCAAUCUUAGAGCAGCAACUCAGUCUGGGCCUGAGUGAGGAUUUGCGGAGAGUGAGGAGACACAUCAGAAGCAAAAGCUUAAAAGGCCAAGUGGAACGCUAUUGGUUGCUUGUGUGUCACCUGUUCUCUGCUGAACUGGAUAGCUGCAAUACCACUGUCUGGCCACCCAUAGAGGUGUAGAGAGCAGGGGCAUAGCUCCUUCCUGAUUCCCAGCUUGAGACCCUGUGACUUUAUAACUGGGUUUUAGACCCACCCCUUGGAGAAUUGGCCUCAUACCAAGCAAAACAUGUCCCCACAAGUAGGGAGGGGAGAGAAAUUCAAUUCCGUUAGCAUUUAAAGACGUUAAAGACGUUAAAGACGUUAGCAUUUAAAAACACAGCCUUCCUUCAAAAUUCACACUUAUCUCUAGCACAUCAAAAGGGACAAAAAUAUCCCAGAAUAUUUGUGGUAUGAAAAGUUACAGGAUUCAACAGGAAGUUACAGGAUAUGCACUGGGCUGGAAAUGAGCGGUGUGACCACCCCAAAACUUUUCCAGGCACAACCAGUAUUGAAAGUGAGGGGAGAGAGACUCUGUUUGCCAUCAGGGGAGGCUGUUCCACCUGCCUUGCCCCACCCUCCAGCCCUGGAGGCCUCCAAACACAGCUUCUUUCGGAGGACUUUCUGGCCCUUUGGGUUGGGCUGUGGGGGUUUGGGGGAGAUUUUUGCAUCAGCUUGGGGGUUAGUGUUUAAAUAUUUUUGCAUUGGCUUUGUUGUUGAGCUUUAUGCUCAUUAUGCUUUGAUGUACUGUAUAUAGAUAUAUUUUCUUAAUUUAGUGAUUACUCUUUAUUAUGUAUUGUGUUAUUGCAUUGGAUUAUUUGUGUGAACCGCUUUGAGCACAUGUAUAUUUGUGGAAAAUGCGGUAUAUAAAUAAACCUUAAUAAAUAAUAAUAAUAAUAAUAAAGUCGGAUCACGUAUGACUGCUUUGAUCCCAUCAUGAGCACAAAUCUUCAUGAAUGCCCAUUAAAAAGGACUUCUGCAGGGGCCCUUAUACUGGUGACAUGUUUAGAGUUCCUUUCUCAGUGUGCCUCAAUGCACAAAUAACCUGGAAGUCCCAAGUUCAAAUGUCAUCACCACAAAACUCACCAAGAGGCCUUAGGCAAGCGUUUCUCCAUCACAAUCAGCUCCCCUUUGGCAAUGCUGGCCUACCUCACAGGGUGAAUUACAAAAUAAAUUUUGUGAACCACUUAGGCACUCUAAUGCACUGUAGUAAUAAUGAUAACAAUGCAGUAUUUGUUGAUGCUUUUAUUAAUGUUUUUAAUUAUGUUUUUAUUGGUUUUUAAAUUUUAUCAUGUCUUUGUGUGUUGUAAGCCGCCUUGAUGUACUUCUAUGAAAACUGCAGCUUAUAAAUACUUUAAUAAAUAAAUAAUACUAAA